UACGUAGGGGGCGAGCGUUGUCCGAAGUUAUUGGGCGUAAAGAGCUCGUAGGCGGCUUGUCGCGUCGACUGUGAAAUCCCGCGGCUCAACUGCGGGUCUGCAGUCGAUACGGGCAGGCUAGAGUUCGGUAGGGGAGACUGGAAUUCCUGGUGUAGCGGUGAAAUGCGCAGAUAUCAGGAGGAACACCGAUGGCGAAGGCAGGUCUCUGGGCCGAUACUGACGCUGAGGCACGAAAGCCAGGGGAGCAAACGGG
rnacentral:rRNA from 1 species